rnacentral:lncRNA from 1 species
ACUAUGAGUAGUCAGACCAUGAGGAAGAAGACAUAGAAGAACCAGUGCCAGAAAACAAAUUGACAGACAAUCUGGCAGAAGGGUUCUGACUGUUCAAGACUGCUUUUGACUACUUCUGACACAGACCCUUCUAUGAAACAAGCACUGAAACUAAAGCAAACAAUGGAAGAAGGAUUGGUACAAUACAGAAACAUUGUUAGAGAAAUGAAAAAGAAAUAAACAAAUUAUGAUGUAUUUCCAUAAAGUUACACCAAGUAUGCCUACCUCUCUCUUGCCUCUCCUUCAACCUCCUUCAUGUAUUCUGCCUCUGCCACCCCAAGACAGCAAUACCCACCCCUCCUCUUCCUCCUUCUCAGCCUACUCAACACAAAGACAACACGGAUGAAGACCUUUAUGAUAAUUCACUUUCAUUUAAUGACAUGUAGGACAUGCCUGCUUCCUCUUUGCCUUCCACCAUGAUUAUAAGUUUCCUGAGGCCUCCCCAGCCAUGCUUCCUGUACAGCCUGCAGAACU